UACGUAGGGUGCAAGCGUUGUCCGGAAUUAUUGGGCGUAAAGAGCUCGUAGGCGGUCUGUCACGUCGGACGUGAAAAUCAGGGCUCAACCCUGGACCUGCACCCGAUACGGGCGGACUAGAGUUCGGUAGGGGAGACUGGAAUUCCUGGUGUAGCGGUGGAAUGCGCAGAUAUCAGGAGGAACACCGAUGGCGAAGGCAAUCCCCUGGGCCUGCACUGACGCUCAUGCACGAAAGCGUGGGGAGCAAACAGG
rnacentral:rRNA from 1 species